rnacentral:lncRNA from 1 species
CCCGGCUGCCCUGGCCUCCUCUCGGGCUCCCUGCAGCUGCCGGCCCAGGGUUGCCCUGAAGACACGGGGGUGAGGCUCAGCAGGCCCACGAUCAGGGGUUCUCUCUGCUCCAGGAUGGGGCCCCAGCUCCAGCUCCAGUACCCGGCUCUCCAGCCGAAGGAUCUGUGGGACAACUGGCAUGAGCAGGUGCACCUGCCCGCGGGCCACCUGGGGUAGGUGAACAUUCACCCGGCGCACGCUCAGGGGCGCGCAGCACUUAGAGGCAGGCCAAGACCCACAGAUGCCACGUGCGUGUGCAUGCCCAUGCAGGGCACGUGUCCUGGGCCUGCACCCCCCGUCCCCCGUGCACUGAGGCUGGUUCUCACUGCUGCUCACCUCACUCUUCAGCUGGAAGAUUUCAGCCUCGUGCUGCUCAUGUAGGUGGUGGGUUGUGAUCUGAAUGUCGACCAGCUCCUUGGAGAUCUGUGGGUGGCCAGGUGAGAAGUGGCGUCUGUGGGCCCUGCUGGCACCCUCCCUCCUCACGAGCACCCUGGGGCCCCACACCCACCUGCAGCUGCUGCUCCUUAUUGAGCGCUAGAUCUGGUGGGACCUCUGCUUCCAAGCUGGUGGCCCACACUGCGGUGCCCCCAGGAGCUCCUGGCAGCCAGUCCUUGGCUCGUAGCACAACCUGGGGAGGUACCG